CGGAGGGGCUAGCGUUGUUCGGAAUUACUGGGGCGUAAAAGCGCACGUAGGCGGACCAGAAAGUUGGGGGUGAAUACCCGGGGCGUCAACCUCGGAACUGCCUUCAAAACUAUUGGUCUGGAGUUCGAGAGAGGUGAGUGGAAUUCCGAGUGUAGAGGUGAAAUUACGUAGAUAUUCGGAGGAACACCAGUGGCGAAGGCGGCUCACUGGCUCGAUACUGACGCUGAGGUGCGAAAGCGUGGGGGAGCAAACAGGAUU
rnacentral:rRNA from 1 species